ACAGUGGAAAUGAAGGUCUCAAAAGCUGGGUGAUGGUUCAACUGGACCCAGCAUGUUAGCAACCGCGUGUUUGAACAGAAGGAAAUGAAAAAUAAAGUCGAAGGACAAGGGAAGGAAAUUGGGAUCUCUUUUCAAGGAGGCACAGAAUGUUGGCUUUACCUGUCACUAUCCUCACAGCCUGAUUAAAGGAAUGAGGUCUCACCGUAUUGCCCAGGCUAGAGUGCAGUGGCUAUUCACAGGCACGAGCACAGUACACUACAGUCUCAAGCCUCCCGAGUAGCAAGGACUACAGGCAAGUGCCAACGUGCCUGGCAAAGUGGCAUAUCUUCGCCUUAAGAGGCCUUUUC